UACGGGGGGGGCAAGCGUUGUUUGGAAUUACUGGGCGUAAAGGGCUCGUAGGCGGCCAACUAAGUCAGACGUGAAAUCCCUCGGCUUAACCGGGGAACUGCGUCUGAUACUGGAUGGCUUGAGAUUGGGAGAGGGAUGCGGAAUUCCAGGUGUAGCGGUGAAAUGCGUAGAUAUCUGGAGGAACACCGGUGGCGAAGGCGGCAUCCUGGACCAACACUGACGCUGAUGAGCGAAAGCCAGGGGAGCAAACGGG
rnacentral:rRNA from 1 species